AGAGAGAGAGAGAGAGAGAGAGAGAGAGAGAGAGUGCACAUGUAGUUGUGGAGAAUAGAUUGAGAGACCUAAAUUCUGGGGAGCUGCAGGUGUUAAACAAUGAGGUCUUUCUGGUCCAAGGGGCUGCUUAUUUGGAUACUUUCUCCGAACUUACCUGUAACUUCUUGUCUCUUUUAAAAGGAUCCCCGUGCGUCCCGGACAGUGAAUGACAACGCAGAGGAAAUGGCCAGUCUGAACAACAACAUGGCCCAGUGUCACCAGGAGUUACAGGUGAGCUGGUGUGUGUGUUACAGGUGAGCUGGUAUAUUGUUGCUGGUGUGUGUGUUACAGAUGAGCUAGUGUGUGGGUUACAGGUGAGCUUGUGUGUGUGUUACAGGUGAGCUGGUAUAUUGUUGCU
ensembl:lncRNA